rnacentral:rRNA from 1 species
ACGGAGGAUGCGAGCGUUAUCCGGAUUCAUUGGGUUUAAAGGGUGCGUAGGCGGCUUUUUAAGUCAGUGGUGAAAUCCUGCGGCUCAACCGUAGAACUGCCAUUGAUACUGAGAAGCUUGAAUGUAAUUGAGGUAGGCGGAAUGAGUAGUGUAGCGGUGAAAUGCUUAGAUAUUACUCAGAACACCGAUUGCGAAGGCAGCUUACCAAGUUAUGAUUGACGCUGAGGCACGAAAGCGUGGGGAUCGAACAG